GAAAAUGUUUUCUUCCUAUGUGAGUUUUGGAUCUGACGGCAAUGAUGCAUUGACCAUCUUGAACGCAAAACUUGAAAAAUUUGAACAAAACAAUCAUUUGCAGAACGAAUUAAAAAACGUAUCUUCUGUGCUUGCCAAGCAUAUGGUCUAUUUGCAAAGACUUUCCAGCCACGUUUUUCCGAAGCCUUCAAACUUAAAGUUUUUUCUAUUCAACUUGAAGGAAGAAAUGGACGAUGUAGAGAAAAAUAUUGCAUCUAUGCCUACAAAUGAAAUUUGUAUAUAAGACAAACCCUCGGGUCCAAGGAUAUUUCGAAGUCAUUAAACGAAAUGUUGACCGAAGAAUUCGCACUAACUUUAAACUGGGAUGGCAACCAGAAAAAAUUUGCAUUGCGAAAAUAUAAGAUCUUCUCAAAAUAUG